rnacentral:snRNA from 1 species
AUACUCUGGUUUCUCUUCAGAUCAUAUAAAUCUUUCGCCUUUUACUAAAGAUUUCCGUGAAGAGGAAUAGUUAUGAGCGUCUACCCAAUUUUUUGAGGCUCCGGUUCGGAGGAGCU